AUUGAACGCUGGCGGCAGGCCUAACACAUGCAAGUCCAGCGGAUGAAGGGAGCUUGCUCCUGGAUUCAGCGGCGGACGGGUGAGUAAUGCCUAGGAAUCUGCCUGGUAGUGGGGGAUAACGUCCGGAAACGGGCGCUAAUACCGCAUACGUCCUGAGGGAGAAAGUGGGGGAUCUUCGGACCUCACGCUAUCAGAUGAGCCUAGGUCGGAUUAGCUAGUUGGUGGGGUAAAGGCCUACCAAGGCGACGAUCCGUAACUGGUCUGAGAGGAUGAUCAGUCACACUGGAACUGAGACACGGUCCAGACUCCUACGGGAGGCAGCAGUGGGGAAUAUUGGACAAUGGGCGAAAGCCUGAUCCAGCCAUGCCGCGUGUGUGAAGAAGGUCUUCGGAUUGUAAAGCACUUUAAGUUGGGAGGAAGGGCAGUAAGUUAAUACCUUGCUGUUUUGACGUUACCAACAGAAUAGGCACCGGCUAACUUCGUG
rnacentral:rRNA from 1 species